rnacentral:rRNA from 1 species
GGCGAGUGAAGCGGCAAAAGCUCAAAUUUGAAAUCUGGUACCUUCGGUGCCCGAGUUGUAAUUUGGAGAGGGCAACUUUGGGGCCGUUCCUUGUCUAUGUUCCUUGGAACAGGACGUCAUAGAGGGUGAGAAUCCCGUGUGGCGAGGAGUGCGGUUCUUUGUAAAGUGCCUUCGAAGAGUCGAGUUGUUUGGGAAUGCAGCUCUAAGUGGGUGGUAAAUUCCAUCUAAAGCUAAAUAUUGGCGAGAGACCGAUAGCGAACAAGUACAGUGAUGGAAAGAUGAAAAGAACUUUGAAAAGAGAGUGAAAAAGUACGUGAAAUUGUUGAAAGGGAAGGGCAUUUGAUCAGACAUGGUGUUUUGUGCCCUCUGCUCCUUGUGGGUAGGGGAAUCUCGCAUUUCACUGGGCCAGCAUCAGUUUUGGUGGCAGGAUAAAUCCAUAGGAAUGUAGCUUGCCUCGGUAAGUAUUAUAGCCUGUGGGAAUACUGCCAGCUGGGACUGAGGACUGCGACGUAAGUCAAGGAUGCUGGCAUAAUGGUUAUAUGCCGCCCGUCUUGA